rnacentral:sRNA from 1 species
CCUGCGGAGGAUCAUUAUCGAAUAAACUUGAACAGGCUGUUGCUGGUCCCCCCAAGGACAUGUGCACGCUUGUCAUCUUUAUCAUUUCUCCCAACUGUGCACAUAUUGUAGACCCUGGAGGGUUUUGGAUUUGUUCCGAGUGGGGACUGCUGUGCUUCAAAGAAAAAAAAAAAAAAGUCGGCUUUCCCUUGAACUUUUAUCCAGGUCUAUGUCAUUUUUCACGACCUCUUGAAUGUGUUUAAAAUGUUGAAAUAAUGAAAAAGUUAAUAAAAUACAACUUUCAGCAACGGAUCUCUUGGCUCUCGCAUCGAUGAAAAACGCACCGAAAUGCGAUAAGUAAUGUGAAUUGCAAAAUUCAGUGAAUCAUCGAAUCUUUGAACGCAUCUUGCGCUCCUUGGUAUUCCAAGGAGCAUGCCUGUUUGAGUGUCAUUUAAACUCUCAAACCACAUCAUUCGUUUGAUGUGGCUCUGGACGUGGGGGUUGCCGGCUUUCUUCUCAAAGAGAGCCCUGCUCCCCUGAAAUGCAUUAGUGGUAUCUGGAGUGGAAGACCGCUAGGUGUGAUAAUACUGUCUAUGCCUUUGGUUAUGCCACAAUGUGCUGCUUCCAACCACAUUUUAUUUUGACAAACUUGACCUCAAAUCAGGUAGGACUACCCGCUGAACUUAAGCAUAUCAUA